GUGAAACGACGUCAUAUUAACUUAGGUUUUUUCUUGAUCUCAAAAAUUAGAAUCUCUCUGCCGUAAUUUUUUUCUCUGUCGAUGUAGCUGAGAAACAUGACAUGAUCGAAAUUGAGAAACAACAAUCUUGUAGGUCUCUUCGUUUUCUUCACUAAGAGAAGGCUGCUUUGGUUCAAGGGUUCGGUUUUGCUGUGAACUUGUGAGCGUCUGUGCUGUGAGCAGUGAGCCUGUGAGCGUCUGUGCUGUGAGCCUGUGAGCGUCCUCAAUCCUAUUACUUCAAGUCUUCAAGUGAGUUGUUUGAUUUCCUGCAAUGUGUAGUUAGUCUUCAAGUCGUCAAUUUCAUUUUCAGAUAACAAGAUGGAGAAAGGGGUUGGUUUGAGAUUAAAGGAGGAGGAUGAAGUUGGUUUCUAUCUUGUUUUUCUAUGGUUCAGUUUUUUUUAUGAAGUAAACUUUAUGUAUUUUCAGAUUCUCUAUGGUGUAGUCUUUCACUUUCUAAGUUUCAGAUUUUAUGUAUUUGAAGAUUCUCUAUGGUGUAGUCUUGGUGUUUGCUUCUUUACAUGAACUAUAUUCUCUUAUCCAUUGUGUUACCAAGUUAAAUCUGAUGUCUUAUUCUCGGGUUUA